CAGCUCUCAGUCAAAAUACUUUGGGUUCUUCACGGGCACUCUUUGGGAUCUUCUUGGCUUAUCAAAACCACGUUGCUUUCUUCUGUUGGUUAAGCAUAGAGUGUUUUGUCUUCCUUUUCUUUUAUUUAGUUGCCCUGUUUUUCAUUGUGUUAGCUGCAAGUAUUUCUCUUGGUUCAUUGUCUUUAUCUGUGUUGCAUUAUAUUAUCGUAAUUGUUGGCAAGUAUUCUUAUUUUCUCUUUUUUUAUUUCCUUUGUGCUAAAAACUAUAUCUGAAUCAGUGAUCGACUGAAAAUUUUAUUUCUCCCCUCAUUGUAUUUUGCGAUUUCUUACGCCAUAGCCACUUUCUAUUCUGUUACUCAUUUCGUUCCUUGCAUAGUUAUUCCCUGAUGGACUGAUGAAUCCUGGGCAAUUUCCUUGCUGAAAUCGAUCCCACACUCUGAGAAGAGUAUCACCAAGAUGUUAGUAAAGCUACCCCCUGAGUCCGAACCAGUCCCCUUCCCAUCAAGUCCACCUGAGCAGACGGGCCCCGAAGUCGCAAGCAGGAUUCGGCACCGAACUGUUCACAACCCAAUUCUCUUUUUUCGUCGCUACAAACUCUCGAGUUAGGCCACUGAAUGACCAAUGGUUUCUACGGAGGAAUCAACAGAGACCAAAGACUUAAUAAAAGAAGGCAUCGUUUUGAAGGACACCGUCGUUGAAUCCCGAACACAGGGGCUACUAUGUCAUGGUUGAGAUCCGCAGUGAGCAAAGCUGUCGAGGUCGGCGGAAAGAACAACCUUACACGUACCGUCAGGAGCUACGCCGAUUCCGUCGUCCAACAUACCGGUCAAGCUGUUGCUAAGGGUGCGGAACUUUUGCAGGAUCGCAUGGCAAUAUCACUCACUGAAGAAUCUAGGGAGUAGACGUAGAAGAAGAUUUCUUUUUGUGGUUUCAUCAUCUUGCUGCAGCAACCUAUUCGGUUCCACUCUCAGAUGUCCAUGAUAGUGGUCGUACUGAGACGACAGCGGCGGCGACGAAUCCAGUGUUCACCAUCAUCUUCUCUACCCAAACCAGCGACAAACGAUGGGAGCUGCAUUCGCGGAGCUCUUCUUUUCUUCUUAACUGAGUCCAGCGAAGAGUCUGAUCGCGAUGGUGAUCGUUGGUUUCCAUUAUUUCGUUUCUGUAUCUUCAUAUAGCAUUCCACGAAGGCACUCUGUGGAAGUGUCAAAUCUGCUCGUUCCCCCUGAGAGAUCGAUCCCAAUUGCAGAAAACCUUCCGGUUUCAAGCUAAAUUCGAAUCAGCUCUGUUAUUCUUGGAGGAAGGGGAACUUGAUUCAUUCGAAAGGACGUGGUAGAAAGAAAUAAUUUGUCUGGGAUUUCAUUGUUACUGAGAGUAAUGGAUAAUUUUUAUUUGAUAAA